rnacentral:rRNA from 1 species
UUAGAGUUUGAUCCUGGCUCAGGACGAACGCUGGCGGCGUGCCUAAUACAUGCAAGUCGAACGCGUCCCGGUUGAUGAAGUUGAGUGCUUGCACUUGAUUGAUUCAACUUGGUGACGAGUGGCGAACUGGUGAGUAACACGUGGGUAACCUGCCCCGAAGCGGGGGAUAACAUUUGGAAACAGGUGCUAAUACCGCAUAACAACCAAAACCUCCUGGUUUUGGUUUAAAAGACGGCUUCGGCUGUCACUUUGGGAUGGACCCGCGGCGUAUUAGCUAGUUGGUGAGGUAACGGCUCACCAAGGCGAUGAUACGUAGCCGACCUGAGAGGGUAAUCGGCCACAUUGGGACUGAGACACGGCCCAAACUCCUACGGGAGGCAGCAGUAGGGAAUCUUCCACAAUGGACGCAAGUCUGAUGGAGCAACGCCGCGUGAGUGAUGAAGGGUUUCGGCUCGUAAAACUCUGUUGUUGGAGAAGAACGGGUGUCAGAGUAACUGUUGACAUCGUGACGGUAUCCAACCAGAAAGCCACGGCUAACUACGUGCCAGCAGCCGCGGUAAUACGUAGGUGGCAAGCGUUGUCCGGAUUUAUUGGGCGUAAAGCGAGCGCAGGCGGUUUUUUAGGUCUGAUGUGAAAGCCUUCGGCUUAACCGGAGAAGUGCAUCGGAAACCGGGAGACUUGAGUGCGGAAGAGGACAGUGGAACUCCAUGUGUAGCGGUGAAAUGCGUAGAUAUAUGGAAGAACACCAGUGGCGAAGGCGGCUGUCUGGUCUGCAACUGACGCUGAGGCUCGAAAGCAUGGGUAGCGAACAGGAUUAGAUACCCUGGUAGUCCAUGCCGUAAACGAUGAGUGCUAAGUGUUUGAAGGGUUUCCGCCCUUCAGUGCUGCAGCUAACGCAUUAAGCACUCCGCCUGGGGAGUACGACCGCAAGGUUGAAACUCAAAGGAAUUGACGGGGGCCCGCACAAGCGGUGGAGCAUGUGGUUUAAUUCGAUGCUACGCGAAGAACCUUACCAGGUCUUGACAUCUUCUGCUAACCUA